GGAAGUUUAGCUCAAUUGGUCAGAGCAUUCGGCUCAUAACCGAAAGGUUCCGGGUUCGAGUCCAGGAACUUCCA
rnacentral:tRNA from 1 species